UACGGAGGAUGCGAGCGUUGUCCGGAUUUACUGGGUGUAAAGGGCGUGCAGCCGGGAAUGCAAGUCAGAUGUGAAAUCCCGCGGCUCAACCGCGGAACUGCAUUUGAAACUGUGUUUCUUGAGUACUGGAGAGGCAGACGGAAUUCCUAGUGUAGCGGUGAAAUGCGUAGAUAUUAGGAGGAACACCAGUGGCGAAGGCGGUCUGCUGGACAGCAACUGACAGUGAGGCGCGAAAGCGUGGGGAGCAAACAGG
rnacentral:rRNA from 1 species